rnacentral:rRNA from 1 species
AGAGUUUGAUCAUGGCUCAGAGCGAACGCUGGCGGCAGGCCUAAUACAUGCAAGUCGAGCGCACCUUCGGGUGAGCGGCGGACGGGUGAGUAACGCGUGGGAAUGUGCCCUUUGGUACGGAACAACUGAGGGAAACUUCAGCUAAUACCGUAUGUGCCCUUCGGGGGAAAGAUUUAUCGCCAUUGGAGCAGCCCGCGUUGGAUUAGGUAGUUGGUGAGGUAAAGGCUCACCAAGCCUACGAUCCAUAGCUGGUCUGAGAGGAUGAUCAGCCACACUGGGACUGAGACACGGCCCAGACUCCUACGGGAGGCAGCAGUAGGGAAUCUUGCGCAAUGGGCGAAAGCCUGACGCAGCCAUGCCGCGUGAAUGAUGAAGGUCUUAGGAUUGUAAAAUUCUUUCACCGGGGAAGAUAAUGACGGUACCCGGAGAAGAAGCCCCGGCUAACUUCGUGCCAGCAGCCGCGGUAAUACGAAGGGGGCUAGCGUUGCUCGGAAUUACUGGGCGUAAAGGGCGCGUAGGCGGAUAUUUAAGUUAGAGGUGAAAGCCCAGGGCUCAACCCUGGAACAGCCUUUAAUACUGGAUAUCUUGAGUUCGGGAGAGGUGAGUGGAACUCCGAGUGUAGAGGUGAAAUUCGUAGAUAUUCGGAAGAACACCAGUGGCGAAGGCGACUCACUGGCCCGAUACUGNNGCUGANNNNCGAAAGCGUGGGGAGCAAACAGGAUUAGAUACCCUAGUAGUCC